UCUCUCCUCUUUUAUAUUUUCCAUCUAGGGUGGAACAGCCAAGGGUGUUACCCUGACUGCUUUCGUUACAAUCAGUCUCCUACAGUGCCAAGAAGCGAACAUAGUCAGCAUUAAAGACCCCCUCAAAGAAACAGCUGAAUAUCUCCGUUCCUGGGUCAACGGAGGGAAGUCCAACGAUGACUAUUCCCGUGCUGUCCUCCUCACUGCGUUUGCCUUGUUGAAGGAUGAAGACUACUUUAACAGGGUCAACAAAGAACCUUUUGAUUUGGCAUCCGAAGACGAUUACAAAUUGCAUCCAAAAUCACCACCAAGGAUUGGUGGUUCGGCGUCUGUGGAAAUAGCAGCAUAUAUAUUGUUGGCUUACAGUUACAAAGGCAAAAUUGAAGAAAGCCUUCCCUUUUAUAAAUCUCUUGUCAGUCAACGAAACAGCCACGGAGGUUUCCGUUCUUCUCAGGACACUGUGAUGGGUCUUGAAGCUCUAACCCAAUAUGCCCUGCUUCUCAGCCAGAAGAAAGAUUCAUCUGUGGAUGUGAAAAUAGAGGCGGACGACGGAACCAAAUAUUCUUUCCCUACCAUCACUUACGCAAACUCAAUCAUGCUUUAUAAGAAAGAUCUUCCUUCAAGUAUAAAGAGUGUGAAAGUUGAAGUGACUGGAAAUGGUUUUGUUCUUGUCCAGGUAAGCUUCUGAUUUUAUU